ACACAGUAAAAGACUGAGGAAGGACCUCUUUAAUCUGUGUUCACUGAUUAUUUUGAGUGCUAAAGACGGUUUUAGAAUUCUUGAAGGAGGGGUAAAAUCCGUUGAUAUAGGAAGACUUUCGAUGGCGAAGGCAUUUACCGAUUUGGUUCUGACGCUAGGUACUAAAGCUUGGGUAGAAAGAGGAUUAGAGACCUCGUAGUCCAUGCCUUAAACAAUGAGUGUUCAACGUCUUAUAAUACUCUGGACCACCUUGCAGUGGUAUCCUUUGAGGAUUAUUGGGGGUUUGAAGUUAACGCGCGAAACACCGCCUGGGGAAUGUGGCCGCAAGGUUAAACUCAAAGGAAUUGACGGAGGCUUAUACMAAGAGUGGAGCAUGUGGUUUAAUUCGAGA
rnacentral:rRNA from 2 species